GACGAACGCUGGCGGCGUGCUUAACACAUGCAAGUCGAACGGAAAGGCCCUGCUUUUGUGGGUUGCUCGAGUGGCGAACGGGUGAGUAACACGUGAGUAACCUGCCCUUGACUUUGGGAUAACUUCAGGAAACUGGGGCUAAUACCGGGUAUGAGCUCCUGCUGCAUGGUGGGGGUUGGAAAGUUUCGGCGGUUGGGGCUGGACUCGCGGCUUAUCAGCUUGUUGGUGAGGUAGUGGCUUACCAAGGCUUUGACGGGUAGCCGGCCUGGGAGGGUGACCGGCGACAAUGGGACUGAGAUACGGCCCAGAAGCCUACGGGAGGCAGCAGUGGGGAAUAUUGCAGAAUGGGCGGAAGCCAGAUGCAGCAACGCCGCGUGCGGGAUGACGGGCUACGGGUUGUAAACCGAUGUCGCCUGUGACGAAGCGUGAGUGACGGUAAUGGGUAAAGAAGCACCGGCUAACUACGUG
rnacentral:rRNA from 1 species